UUCGGUGUUGAUGGAGAUGAAGAGAUCGGGGAAGAUCGGUCUGGGUUAUGUGGGAGAAAGACGGAGGAUCCGGUGAGGAGGGAAGGUCUGUGGAAGUGGGGUCUUCGGGUGGUUGGUUUGAGGGAGAAGGAGCAGCCAAAGGGAAAAGGCUGGGGGGUAGCCGCCUGCUUGGAGAGGGAGAGUCGGUUUUCUUGUUUAGGUGAGCGGCCAGAUAGAUGGAGCGGGGAG
rnacentral:lncRNA from 1 species